rnacentral:rRNA from 1 species
UACAGAGGUCUCAAGCGUUGUUCGGAUUCAUUGGGCGUAAAGGGUGUGUAGGUGGCGCGCUAAGUCGGGUGUGAAAUCUCGGGGCUCAACCCCGAAACUGCACUUGAUACUGCGGUGCUAGAGGACUCGAGAGGAGAUUGGAAUUCACGGUGUAGCAGUGAAAUGCGUAGAUAUCGUGAGGAAGACCAGUGGCGAAGGCGGAUCUCUGGAGAGUUCCUGACGCUGAGGCACGAAGGCCAGGGGAGCAAACGGG